AGCCCAUGGUGAGGGCAUUGUCUCAAUAAGUCCUUAUACCUCUCCCAUGCAUCAUAUAGGGUCUCUAAAUCAAUCUAAACAUAGGAAGAGAUAUCAUUCCUCAACUU
rfam:Gossypium hirsutum cultivar TM-1 unplaced genomic scaffold scaffold3559.1, whole genome shotgun sequence